rnacentral:rRNA from 1 species
AGAGUUUGAUCCUGGCUCAGAUUGAACGCUGGCGGCAUGCCUUACACAUGCAAGUCGAACGGCAGCACGGACUUCGGUCUGGUGGCGAGUGGCGAACGGGUGAGUAAUAUAUCGGAACGUACCCUGGAGUGGGGGAUAACGCAGCGAAAGUUGCGCUAAUACCGCAUACGAUCUACGGAUGAAAGUGGGGGCUCGCAAGACCUCAUGCUCGUGGAGCGGUCGAUAUCUGAUUAGCUAGUUGGUAGGGUAAAAGCCUACCAAGGCUUCGAUCAGUAGCUGGUCUGAGAGGACGACCAGCCACACUGGGACUGAGACACGGCCCAGACUCCUACGGGAGGCAGCAGUGGGGAAUUUUGGACAAUGGGGGCAACCCUGAUCCAGCAAUGCCGCGUGAGUGAAGAAGGCCUUCGGG